AAAGCAUUUUCCUCACAGUCCUUAUCUUACUCAUGAAGUGAGUUAUUUUUUUCUCUCUCUUCUGCCCAGCUGUGGCAGAAGAGAGUGAGUGAGCGACUCUAAGGGGUGACUGGUGUUGGGCUAGUGUCAAACCAUGACACCUUGCUACCAUACUCCCAAUCCAGUAUUCCAGAACUCCACAAAGGGAUUGUUAUACCCUGGUAUGGGCCACUGCACACAUUUCUGAAGAUUGCAUUUAAGUAGAUAGGGUAACUACUUCAUGCCUGGAUAUGCCUACUUAUAUAUUCAUGAUCUAGUGGGUGGUAUCCCUGUCCAUGGCAGAGGAGUUGGAACUAGAUGAUCUCUUACAACCAAAACCCUUUUAUGAUUUACACUUCUUGUACCUAAAACACUAAAGUGUUUCUCAUGUUAACUAACCUGCCAGAUCCCUGGGACCACAAGCCCUUGCUGUUUAAAAAGCCUCUGCAGCUGUUCCAGGGUUAUAUGAGCUGUCCUACACAUUCAAGGAGCCAUAGUAAACCUGACUAUUGCUGACUUCUCCUCAUAGAAUUUGAAACUGGAGCCAUUAAUUUUGGAGAACAGGAGACAUUUCCCGGUCUGCUAUGUAUCAUUUAUCUUUAGGCAACCAGAGCCCAGCUGCACAAACCCUUCCAAAGAGUGAGCAGGGCCAACAGGACUCAGACAGCUGCAGCACUCCCAGGGGUCUGAACAGGUCACCCCAGCUCCCCUGGCAUGUUCAGGCCACAAAGCAUCAUCUGGACCCAUAUGGAGAUCAAGUGUACUGA
rnacentral:lncRNA from 1 species